rnacentral:tRNA from 1 species
CAUAGCUCAAUUGGAUAGAGCAACGGACUUCUAAUCCGUAGGUUGCAGGUUCGAUUCUUGCUG